GGUGACGUGCCGGAAUGGCUAACGGGACGGUUUGCAAAACCGUAUUUUGUGAGUUCGAUUCUCACCGUCACCUCCA
rnacentral:tRNA from 1 species